UCGACUUGUCGCUGGAUGACAUUAUCAAGCGCCACAAGAAAGACCAGAUGGACACCCAGGCCGUCGGGACCCAGCGAAGGCAGCAGCUCCGGAACAGGAACGCAUAUGGAUACGGGAGGCCAUGGCUCCGUGCCCGGGUGCAGCGCAGUCUGCAAGGACCCAAUCGAUUAAGAAGAGGAUUUGGACAACAGCAAUACAACAGGCAGCAGCGGAGGGGCACCAUACCUGGCCCAAGGAGAAGAACAGCCGUGACGUUAAACAGAGUGAGCCCCUUAAACCGCCAGAUUUCUACUCAAGAGGGCAACCAGAGUGAAGAAGGGUUCAGCAAAAGUGGUGACAGCGGACAGACCGGAGCACAGACCAGGCCCCUCCAGCACCCUCGGAGAUUCAGGACCCUGGGUGCCGCGGUCCAAGGCCCAGCGAGAAGCGGCCAGUCUUUCACCCUAAACAGGAGGCCGGCCUUCCAGCAGAAGCAGAUACAGCAGAGGCGAUCCAAGCCCGGCUUUUACAGAGGGGAGCUGGUGGCAGUAGCCACGGUUAUACCUAGACGUAGCUUGUGCUCUCCCCAGCGUGGAUUUCGGGGGGCACCGUAG
rnacentral:lncRNA from 1 species